rnacentral:tRNA from 1 species
AUUUAUAUAGUUUAUAAUCAAAACACUACACUUUCACUGUAGAAAAAAGUAAAACUUUAUAAAUA